GGCAGGAGCAGCAUGGCGGCCUGGGCAGGUCCCUUGGGGUGGGCACAGGGCAACAGAUGGGCAGCAGCUGCCUCUGGGGAGGGGACUGGCCCAGGGCACUGCUCCUCACCUCUGCAGAAAGCACUGGCCAGUCCAGGGGCUUGUUCUUACAUAGAAUCAUUAAGGUUGCAAAUUAGGUGUGAGCCCUAAAUGCAUUUUCUUUUUCUGCUUAAAUGUCGUGAGCCUGGAUGGUUGUGUCUUACUGCAUUAAGGUACGUGUGUCAAUGAUGUCGGCUCUGAACUGUCAGCUCAGGCAGCUGGGCUCAGUGGUGUUGUGGGGCCCUUCCCAUUGAACUGGUGAUUCUGUAGUAAGUUAAUUGCAGGUCUUCUGCUCCUGAAUGCCUUUGCUCAUAAAGCAAGAAAUGCCAUCAAAGUCUUAACUUUCAUCGGGAGAGAAGGUACCUUAUUUCCUCCUGCAAAUUAAAGAAUAAGACAAUUUCAUAUGAGAGUGUUCUGAAAGCAAAAAGGAAAAAAAAUCCUAACUGUUCAGAACUUUUGGAUCUGGUGAUAGUGCAGCUGACUCCCAUGCAGAAUAACUGCAUUGUGGUUACCAGACCGUCCAGCUCAAGUCACUUUGUGUAACUGUCCUAUUGCUUUUGUAGGUGUUUUCACAACAGUGGAAAACCGCAUUGUGUAAAGGAACAGUAAGCCAUGUGGGUAAAUGCGAACAGCAGUUUAAACGUGCAGGUAUGUCUUUUGUCAGCCAAGGAAGAAUCCGUAAUGGGAUCUCAGUGGAAGACAUGAGAAAAUCUGCAGCUCGAGGACUUGUGUCCAUUCCACUCAGAGGAUCUCCUCUCUGGGCCUGCCUUAGUGCUCACUUGAAGUUCAGGAGGAAUCAGUUCUUGCCGUGCAUUUAUACCUGCACAAGGAAUUGAGCACAAUUUCUGUGCUGGUUAUUGCAGUGUUUUGUUUCUUUUUGGAAAUAUACCCAGUCCUUACUCAGAUAUCUUUGCAUGCUGCUCUGGUAACUUUUCCUGAAGAUGAAACGCUGUUGGGGCUUCAGCUGCACAGCGCUGUGCUCCAUGCUGGCUUUCCAUGGCCGAGCAGCCUGGCUGAAUCCCAUUCCUACUACCAGGCCUGAUUUUGUGGUGCUGCUGAUCUUGCAUCCAUCCUGUCCCAUUUAGCUGAAUUUUUUAUUUCCUUGCUGUUGUGCAUGGUUAGGAGGCGUCCAUUUGCACACACUGUGAUUCACUUUUCUAUUGCCUUCCAUUGUGUAACACAAUAUGAGCGUGAAAGACUCUCUUCUGGUGUCAAUCUGGAGAAGACCCGUUUCAUGUUGUGAUGCACAGUCCUGGGGCUUGUGUGUGUUGUUAUGAAGAUGGCAAACCGCUCCUCACAGCCUCGCAGAAGGCCUGCUGGCUUCAAUUAUGUGUUGUAACUCGUUGACUACCCUAUGUAAAUCAUAAUGCAACUUAUAUUGGCUUUUAUUGCAUGUUGUAACGUGAUGAUAGGCCCUUUUCAUGUGGUGCCUUUUGGCUUUUUUAACAAACCAAAAUGUAACAGCCCACCUUCUUAUAUUCUAAUGUAAUGAACUCUUUCCACAGCUCUGUCUGAUGCCUCUUGGCUUCUCUGAGAGAUCCUAUUCCUAAUUUAAUGAGUUCCUCUUCACAUCAUAAUGUAAUUAAUACUGCCUUUUACAGCAUAUCCUCACACAUCAGUGCCAAAUCUUCCCUAGCAAAGCUAUAGUUUUUUCUCAUCUUCAAAUGACUUUCCUUACUUUCAGUUUGUGACCAUUGCCUCCCAUACUGUCACUGGGCACCCGUGAGAAGAGCCUUUUCUUGACUCCUCCUCUUCCCCAUCAGGAAAGGAGCAUUUCCUUGUCUGCCCUGGUAAAUGGUUCUCCUACAGCCCCACGUGACGUGUCCUGUCUGCCAGCCAAGGAGGGCUGGCUGUGACAGCUUCAUGGCCCCUCAGCUCUGCUCCUCACAAUGAGCGUGAGCCCUGACAAGUCUGGAGGUCCAGCGGUGUCCAGCUGACUUGUGUGCUCUCUGGCAGUUGGGAACCAGCGCAGCGUCUGCCUGCAGCGUUUCCAGUGGUUGGAGGAGGACGAAAAGUGCACAGCCUCUGUUGCAUGAAGGUGAGAGUUGGAAUUCUGCAGAAUUUGUCCAGAUUCUGUGCUGACUUCUCGAGAAAGCAGUGAGGAAGAAGAUUAAUUGAAAUCUGUCUCAUUCGGGGUCCAAGAGUUGUGGUAGCGAAACCUUCCUUCUGCAUCCUUCUUUCUGUCAGUGCUCUCAGCAUUGCUUUGGGAGAGCGUUCUGAGCUCGCUGAAUGUGAGGCUCUUCCUUUUCACUGAUCCACUCCAUAAGCAACCUGUGUUGUGAUUCAUUCAUUGAGGAUAUGGAUGUAGCAAAGCCUUACUAAUGUUCCAGAACUGUGUUUUGGAUACUGUGAGGGCUUCAGGAGUAUUGGAAAGCUUUUGAAAUCUUCAGGGCUUGCAUUAUAAGCCUUCAAAAUGUAGAAAGCCCAGUUGGGUCAGCUGUGCAGGGUACCAGGGCAGAGUGGAGAGCUGAUGACAUAAUCCAGAUAAAGCAAAAACACCCAACCUGCUGUCCAUACAUAAAGGUAUGAGAGUCUACUUGGCCGAUUCCCCUUGAAAAGCCUGCAGCUGUUUCCAUACCGACUCCCACCCACCCACCCACCUGUGAGUCCAGUGUCACCUCAGCCAGGGGAGCUUGCGUGCACACAGAAUGGAAGUGGAAGACGAGCCCCUUUUAUUUUAACAACCCUUCCGACCUUUAACAAAAAUAAAAUGGAGAUGGCAGUUGUUUUUCUGUCUUUAAAGACAAAAACCUUUUUUGCACAUCUUUUGGCUUGAUGACGGGAGCAGGUGUUCUCCCACAGAUACGGCUCUGUGCUGGGACCACUGCUGGCUGGUCUGGUGUGUGAAGGGUUGGUAAAUGCCCGAUGGGGAGCAAAGGUACUGGAAAGGAGUGGGCUGUUAAAUCUCGCUGGUACUGAACAAAUGUAAUAGCUGUGUUCAGUGUAAUUCAUAGCACAUAGGGGGAAUUCAGAAGGUAUUGUAUUUGUAGCUCUUAACGAACAGUUGAUUUCCUGACAUGAGUAAAUCUGUUAAAAAGCUGGGUAUGUAGCAAGCAGAUACAAAUGUCAUGGCAUAGAUUCUGUAUUGGCUGACGUGCAGGGAAGAGAGUAAUAGCAAUGCAGAGACCUCCGAGUAUGAAAUCCUAUAAAGCAUUUUUUUGGAGACAUCAGUGCUGGGGCCCAAUUUGUUGUGCCUUUUAUGUAAAACAUUUCUGCAGUUCCAUUUGUGACCCUAAACCAGGCUUUGUCAAGUCAGACCUGCGGAAUAUGGGAUGGAAGUCUUCAUUUUUAAAGCCCCGAUGAAAGACACUGAAUAACCACAAUGUGAAUGUCCUCUGCUGUUCUUACCACCAAACGCUUUGGUCCUGGACCUACUCACCGAGCUACUGAAGCGAUGUUCAAAUGGAAACAGUGAUAUGCUGGUAGUGUCCCCAUCAUGGAGGAGCACAAAGGGGUGGUCAAGGGAUAGGAGAAGAAAGGAAGAAUGUCCUUUGUUUCUUCCCUCUGGGACCUUCAAGAGCUGUUGAUAAACAUAAAGAUAGAAAAUACACACAUAAAGAUAGUAGUUCUAAGGGUUGGAAAAGAUAAUGUGAGGCACCCAAGGUUUUUCCCAGGUCAGAAAGCUUUGGAACUGUCCCAGAGUUCAGUUUCUGUGAUCUUCAUUUUGCUGAGCAGUUCAUGGCAGCAGAGAGGACUCGUUGGUGUCCGGACAAAGAGGGAAGAGGAAACCAAGCUGUAAAGAUGUGUGGAAAAGCAAGGAAUUAAUUACUGCUUGCACUGGUUGUUUGUCGCCUUACUGCCCUUCUUGCCUCCCUGGAGCCCAGCUGACUUCCUGGGAUUGCUGAACGGCUGCCUUUUGCCACCUCCUGCCUGUCGCAUCGAACACCAGGGCGAAUUGGCUCUACAUGUAACACUACAACAAACGUGACAGGCGAAGACCCAUCCCUGCGGAGCGGCACUACUCCCUCCACGUUCUCCAGAACCAUCGGCGCAACCUGGGCCUGGUGGGCGGCACAUCUUCCAGUACGCUGAGG